UACUCCAGCUCAGUACAUGGUCUUCUUCUUCGGGCUCUAUCUGGUUGCUUUGGGGACUGGUGGGAUCAAACCUUGUGUUGAUCAGUACUGCCUUGAUGAUUUAGGAGCUGGCAGAACCAUCGAUAAGAGAUGCAUUUUUUUCUUGCAUUCAACAAGGUGCAGAUCAUGUGAUUGUAAGCCCAUUUUUUCUCUUCCUUGGACGACACUGGCAUCAGGAUAUUCUUUCGUUAGCUGCAAAAGAACACCCUUAUGUGUCAUAUAUCGUUACUGCACCUCUUGGUCUGCAUGAUCUACUUGUGGCAAGGAGCGAGAUUGUAUGACAAGGUUUAUAUUAUGAGAUUUGUAUUACUGGAAAUGUUUGCUCUGUAGAAAUUUGUAUUACAAGAUUUAUAUUAUGAGAUUGUAUGCUGGCCAUUUACAAAGUUGGACAGUAAUGUUCUUGGUGUAUUUUAUAAUAAUGUUAUAUUUAAUAAUUUCAAAAUGCAAUACAUUUUGUUUUUAAUGUACUA